rnacentral:tRNA from 1 species
GCGGCUGUGGCGGAAUGGCAGACGCAGCAGACUCAAAAUCUGCCGACCCAAAAUCGUGUGGGUUCAAGUCCCACCAGCCGCACCA